CCUCAACUUGAGACAUCUGUGGCAUUGAGUUGUGAUAAAACUGCACAUUUUAGUGGCCUUUUGUCCCCAGCACAAGGUGCACCUGUGUAAUGAUCAUGCUGUUUAAUCCGCUCCUUGAUUAUGCCACACCUGUCAGGUGGAUGGAAUAUCUUGGCAAAUGAUAAAUGCUCACUAACGGAUCUAAACAAAUUUGUGCCAGAAUUGGAGAGAAAUGAGCUUUUUGUGCAUAUGGAAUAUUUCUGGGAUCUUUUAUUUGAGCUCAUGAAACAUGGGACCAACACGUUACAUGUUGCGCUUUAUAUUUUUGUUCGGUAUAUUAUGGAGUCAGAGCCGAAGUGUCAAUAUCACACUAAGUCUCCAGGCAAGCUGAGCUCCAGCCAGGCAGGUAGUCUGGAAAGCAGCUCCCUGACUGGCUCUCUCUCCUUGGGGCCAGACCUGCCUCACUGCCAGUGCUGCAUCUCCUACGAAGCCCGUCUGAAACGCCUGUCCUGUGGCCACCUCUACUGUGACCCCUGCACAGACCAGAUCGUCAACCUGGCCUUCGAGGACAUCGAGGGCCUCUCUGAUUACCCCUGCCCCAUGUGCAAGUCCCUCCGCCAGCUAGGGGACCUGGGCCCCCCCUCUUAUGGGUACCUGGGUACCCCCUCCUUUGGGCCAUGUGGGACCCUGCAGCAGCAGGUGGCUAAAGAGCAUGGGAGCAGCUGGGGGUAA
rnacentral:lncRNA from 13 species